rnacentral:rRNA from 1 species
GUAGGUGGCAAGCGUUGUCCGGAAUUAUUGGGCGUAAAGCGCGCGCAGGCGGUUCUUUAAGUCUGAUGUGAAAGCCCACGGCUCAACCGUGGAGGGUCAUUGGAGACUGGAGAACUUGAGUACAGAAGAGGAAAGCGGAAUUCCACGUGUAGCGGUGAAAUGCGUAGAGAUGUGGAGGAACACCAGUGGCGAAGGCGGCUUUCUGGUCUGUAACUGACGCUGAGGCGCGAAAGCGUGGGGAGCAAACAGGAUUAGAUACCCUGGUAGUCCACGCCGUAAACGAUGAGUGCUAAGUGUUAGGGGGUUUCCGCCCCCCUUAGUGCUGCAGCUAACGCAUUAAGCACUCCGCCUGGGACUACGGCCGCAAGGCUG